rnacentral:lncRNA from 1 species
GUCUGUGUGCAUUUAAAUUCUGCUUGGAAUCUGAACCAAUAAGGAGAGUGAUAUCAAUUCCACCAAUAGAAAGCAAAUCCUGAAGAAUGUUUGGGAAUCUCCUUCAGAGCUGCUGAUUCAUUUCUCCCUUGAAACUUAACAUAUGCUGCCGUUGAAACAACGAUUCAGAAAAUGGAUGUUGGAAAUAAUGCAAUUCAUGCUAAGCCCAGAAUGCAAUAAUAAACCAAAGAGAAAAACAUCCUGCGGUCUGUGUGCAUUCAAAUGGAAUUUGGAAUAUGAACCAAUAAGGAGAGUGAUCUCACUUCCAUCAAAGGAAAGCAAAUACCCAGGAAAGCUUUGAGAGCUCCUUCAGAGCUUCUGAAUAAUUUCUUCCUCCAAACUAAACGAGUGAUGCUGCAGAAAAAACAGAAUAGAAAGUGGAUGGCAGGAAAAAGCAUACUUUAUCCUAGGCAUUGAAUACAAUACAAAAAAGAGAAAAACAUCUUUGGAAUGAUAGUGAGAACCUAUUUUUGAUGUUCCUCAAUACUGGAAGUCAUCAUAGAAGAGAAAUCCAUCUGCUACUAUUUAGAAGAUCCACUGUGCAUGCUUUCAGAUCUCCAAGGACAGUAUUGAAGAUGUAUGGGGAGAGUGGACAGCCUUG